rnacentral:rRNA from 1 species
UACAGGGGGGGCAAGCGUUGUUCGGAAUUACUGGGCGUAAAGGGCGCGUAGGCGGUGUGUCAAGUCAGGCGUGAAAGUCCUGGGCUCAACCGUGGGAACUGCAUCUGUGACUGCAUAGCUAGAGUACGGUAGAGGGGGAUGGAAUUCCGCGUGUAGCAGUGAAAUGCGUAGAUAUCGGAAGGAACAUCAGUGGCGAAAGCGGCUUCCUGGACCAGUACCGACGUUCAGGCACGAAAGCGUGGGAGCAAACAGG